rnacentral:rRNA from 1 species
UCAAGUAAUUAAGUGCAUGUGGUGGAUGCCUUGGCAGUCAGAGGCGAUGAAAGACGUGAUAGCCUGCGAAAAGCUCCGGGGAGGCGGCAAAUAUCCUUUGAUCCGGAGAUGUCUGAAUGGGGGAACCCACCUACUUUAAGGUAGGUAUUGCAACAUGAAUACAUAGUGUUGCAAGGCGAACGAGGGGAAGUGAAACAUCUCAGUACCCUUAGGAAAAGAAAUCAAUUGAGAUUCCCUCAGUAGCGGCGAGCGAACGGGGAUCAGCCCAUUAAGUUAUGUGUGUUUUAGUGGAACGCUCUGGGAAGUGCGAACGUAGAGGGUGAUAUUCCCGUACACGAAAGGGCACACAUAAUGAUGACGAGUAGGGCGAGGCACGUGAAACCUUGUCUGAAUAUGGGGGGACCAUCCUCCAAGGCUAAAUACUCCUGACUGACCGAUAGUGAACCAGUACCGUGAGGGAAAGGCGAAAAGAACCCCUGUGAGGGGAGUGAAAUAGAUCCUGAAACCGCAUGCAUACAAGCAGUGGGAGCACCUUCGUGGUGUGACUGCGUACCUUUUGUAUAAUGGGUCAGCGACUUAUAUUCAGUAGCGAGGUUAACCGUAUAGGGGAGCCGUAGAGAAAUCGAGUCUUAAUAGGGCGUUUAGUUGCUGGGUAUAGACCCGAAACCAGGCGAUCUAUCCAUGAGCAGGUUGAAGGUUGGGUAACACUAACUGGAGGACCGAACCCACUGUCGUUGAAAAGCCAGGGGAUGACUUGUGGAUAGGGGUGAAAGGCUAAUCAAGCCUGGUGAUAGCUGGUUCUCCCCGAAAGCUAUUUAGGUAGCGCCUCGGACGAAUACCAUAGGGGGUAGAGCACUGUUUCGGCUAGGGGGUCAUCCCGACUUACCAAACCGAUGCAAACUCCGAAUACCUAUGAGUACUAUCCGGGAGACAGACUGCGGGUGCUAACGUCCGUAGUCAAGAGGAAAACAAUCCAGACCGCCAGCUAAGGCCCCAAAAUCAUAGUUAAGUGGGAAACGAUGUGGGAAGGCAUAGACAGCUAGGAGGUUGGCUUAGAAGCAGCCACCCUUUAAAGAAAGCGUAAUAGCUCACUAGUCGAGUCGGCCUGCGCGGAAGAUGUAACGGGGCUAAAACUAUGUGCCGAAGCUGCGGAUGUAUACUUUGUAUACGUGGUAGGGGAGCGUUCUGUAAGCCGAUGAAGGUGUGUUGAGAAGCAUGCUGGAGGUAUCAGAAGUGCGAAUGCUGACGUGAGUAACGACAAAACGGGUGAAAAACCCGUUCGCCGAAAGACCAAGGGUUCCAGUCCAACGUUAAUCGGGGCUGGGUGAGUCGACCCCUAAGGCGAGGCCGAAAGGCGUAGUCGAUGGGAAAAUGGUUAAUAUUCCAUUACUUCUGUGUAAUGCGAUGAGAGGACGGAGAAGGCUAAAUCAGCCUGGCGUUGGUUGUCCAGGUGAAAGGAUGUAGGCAUGUAUCUUAGGCAAAUCCGGGGUACUCUAUGCUGAGAUCUGAUAGCAAGCUGUACUUGUACAGCGAAGUGGUUGAUGCCAUGCUUCCAGGAAAAGUCUCUAAGCUUCAGUUACACAGGAAUCGUACCCGAAACCGACACAGGUGGUCAGGUCGAGUAGACCAAGGCGCUUGAGAGAACUCUGCUGAAGGAACUAGGCAAAAUGGUACCGUAACUUCGGGAGAAGGUACGCUGUUGUUGGUGAUGGAACUCGCUUCCUGAGCUGACGACAGCCGCAGAAACCAGGCCGCUGCAACUGUUUAUUAAAAACAUAGCACUCUGCAAACACGAAAGUGGACGUAUAGGGUGUGAUGCCUGCCCGGUGCUGGAAGGUUAAUUGAUGGGGUUAGCGUAAGCGAAGCUCUUGAUCGAAGCCCCAGUAAACGGCGGCCGUAACUAUAACGGUCCUAAGGUAGCGAAAUUCCUUGUCGGGUAAGUUCCGACCUGCACGAAUGGCAUAAUGAUGGCGGCGCUGUCUCCAGCAGAGGCUCAGUGAAAUCGAAAUCGCUGUGAAGAUGCAGUGUACCCGCGGCUAGACGGAAAGACCCCGUGAACCUUUACUGCAGCUUGACACUGAACUUUGACCUUACUUGUGUAGGAUAGGUGGGAGGCUUUGAAGCUGGAACGCUAGUUCCAGUGGAGCCGUCCUUGAAAUACCACCCUGGUAAUGUUGAGGUUCUAACUCUGUCCCGUGAUCCGGGA